AAAUUGAAGAGUUUGAUCAUGGUUCGAUUGAACGCUGGCGGCAGGCCCACUUUGCAAGUCGAGGGUAGCAAAAGAGUUGCCUUUUGACAAAGGGGACGGGGGGAGAAAGUCGGGGAAACCCGCCUGAUGGGGGGGGGGAUAACUACUAAAGGUAGCUAAUACCGAAAAACCUCGAAAGAGAAAAGGGGGGAAAUUUGGGCCUUUCCCCCAUCAGAUGUGUCCAGAUGGGAUUAGCUAAGAGGUGAGGAAAGGCUCCCCUGGGGCGACGACCCCCUGUUUGGUCUGAGAGGAUGCCCAAAGCCACCCCGGAACUGAGACACGGUCCAGACUCCGGGAGGCAGCAGUGGGGAAUAUUGCAAAAUGGGCGAACCCCGAUGCACCCCGGCCGGGGUGAAGGGUUUCCGGGUUUUAAAAGAAAUUUUCAGCGAGGAGGAAGGCGGUAAGGUUAAAAACCCCAUCGAUUGACGUUCCCGCAGAAGAAGCCCCGGCCCAACCCCCGGCCAGCAGCCGCGGUAAUACAGGGAAGCAAUCGGGUUUCUGGGCGCACGCAGGGGGGUCUGGGGUUGGAGGGAAAACCCCGGGGCUUAACCGGGGAACCCGCAUUCAAAACUGACAGGUUGAGUUUUGAGAGGGGAAACGGUAGGGGUAAAAGCAAAAUUCGGAAAUACCGGUGGCGAAGGGGGCCCCCUUUGGACAAAGAUUUUCCCGGGGGAAAGGGGGGAGCAAACGGGAAUCCCCCUAUUUCCAGCUUAAACGAUUUGAUUUAAGGUGCCUUGAGGCGGGUUUCCCGGGAGAAGGGGUUAAAUCGCCCGGCCCGGGGAUACGGCCGGGUUUAAAAAAUUUAAAAUAAAUUUGGGACCCCCGGGGGUAUUUGGGGGUUUUUGAGGGCCGCGAAAAACCCCAAAAUUUAAACCCCAAACAGAAUUCGGUAGGGGAACCCGGUUAAAGGAACGGGUGAAAAGGGGGCCCAAAUGGCUGCCCAGCCUGUUUUUGAAAUUUUGGGGUUGCCCCGAACGAGGAAACCCCUUUACCCUUUUGUUGCCAGGAUUGGUGGGGAAAACUAAAAGGAGACCCCCGGGGUGAUGGGGGGAAGGUGGGAAAAGACGUCAAGUCACCCGGGCCCCUGAGGGGGCAAAGGGCUACAAUGGGGGGUUCAAAGAAAGGGCCCCCGGAGAAAAAGGGGACCUCAAAAGAGCCGUAGCCGUUUGGGAAGCCUGCAACCGACCCCCGAAGUCGGAACGUUGGUAAUCGUAGAUCAGAAUGCCGGGGGAAUACUUUCCCCGGCCUUCGGACCGCCCGUCACACCAGGGGGGUUGAAAAAGAAGUAGGUAAAAAAACCUUCGGAGGGCGUUUACCUUUUUGUGAUUCAUGACGGGUUGGUGGGCAAAAGGGAAAAUUGGGGAAAAACCCAGGGGUUGAUCCCUUUCCCG
rnacentral:rRNA from 1 species